rnacentral:ncRNA from 1 species
CUGUCGGCUAUGAAGAGAAGAGUAGUUGGGAUCGGUUAUUUUCAGAGAGCUCCGGUUGGUGGGAUGGAGUAAUAAUGAUCUUAAUGAAAAAAGGCUCAGAGCUUCGCACGGAUCCAGGGUUUCCCUGGUGAUACUGCGACGGGAUCUCCCGUUACAGAGAUAGGGUAUACUCAACUAUUUAUAUUUUGACGUACCCGAAGAGGUUGGUAUGGCGACAUAUCAAUAAACUGGGGUGGUACCACGGAGCAUAAUACUCUCGUCCUCAAG